AUACGUAGGGGGCAAGCGUUAUCCGGAUUUACUGGGUGUAAAGGGAGCGUAGACGGAAGGCCAAGUCUGAUGUGAAAGCCCGCGGCUCAACUGCGGGACUGCAUUGGAAACUGGUCAUCUGGAGUGCAGGAGGGGUAAGCGGAAUUCCUAGUGUAGCGGUGAAAUGCGUAGAUAUUAGGAGGAACACCGGUGGCGAAGGCGGCUUACUGGACUGUAACUGACGUUGAGGCUCGAAAGCGUGGGGAGCAAACAGGAUUAGAUACCCUGGUAGUCCACGCUGUAAACGAUGAAUACUAGGUGUGGGGGGACUGACCCCCUCCGUGCCGCAGUUAACACAAUAAGUAUUCCACCUGGGGAGUACGGCCGCAAGAAUGAAACUCAAAUGAAUUGACGGGG
rnacentral:rRNA from 1 species